CAUUCUUGGAUCUGUGUGCCAAGCUCUCCCUAGCCAUUCAAUGCAGAGACACCAAACGGAGCGCAGCACUGAGAGUGGAGAAGCAAAUAGCAAUCACUCUGUAGAAACUUGCAGUGCCCGAUUGCUACAGUCAGAGGGCAGUCAUUUUGGAUUGAGAAAAUCCACUGUGGGGGUUGUUAUCACGACUUGUCCAUGGUAGCAGUGGUGGUCCAACACUAGUAGCUAGCAGAAGAUGGAGGGAGGAAAAGUGUGUGCAGUAACACCCCAGGAACAUAGAGGGUUCCAUAGCUUAUGGAAUCCUGGAAGCUUUCCAAGCAUGUAACGCCCAUUGGUCCUUUGCGUAAGAGUGAAACUUACUCUACAGAGCAGAAAGACCCACAGAGAACGUGUUUGUCAUUAUGAUACUCAUGUUUCUUUUUCUUUUUUCUUCUUUUUUUUAUCAGAUUGCACUUAUCUAUCUUAGGUGCUCAUCCAUCACCUAUUACUGUGGUAUAUAGGUUCAAGUGCAUUACAAGGUUUUGAUUUAAUGCAUAGUACAAUUUAAGAUCAUUGCAUGGCACAAUCAUCCGUAUGCAUCCACUUUGUUACGUCUUUUUUUCUCCCCUUGGGGUAUGCAAUAAAACCUUAGCAUGUGACUA